rnacentral:rRNA from 1 species
GGUUAAGCGACUAAGCGUACACGGUGGAUGCCCUGGCAGUCAGAGGCGAUGAAGGACGUGCUAAUCUGCGAAAAGCGUCGGUAAGGUGAUAUGAACCGUUAUAACCGGCGAUGUCCGAAUGGGGAAACCCAGUGCAAUUCGUUGCACUAUCGUUAACUGAAUACAUAGGUUAACGAGGCGAACCGGGGGAACUGAAACAUCUAAGUACCCCGAGGAAAAGAAAUCAACCGAGAUUCCCCCAGUAGCGGCGAGCGAACGGGGAGCAGCCCAGAGUCUGAAUCAGCUUGUGUGUUAGUGGAACGGUCUGGAAAGUCCGACGGUACAGGGUGAUAGUCCCGUACACCAAAAUGCACAGGCUGUGAACUCGAAGAGUAGGGCGGGACACGUGGUAUCCUGUCUGAAUAUGGGGGGACCAUCCUCCAAGGCUAAAUACUCCUGACUGACCGAUAGUGAACCAGUACCGUGAGGGAAAGGCGAAAAGAACCCCGGCGAGGGGAGUGAAAAAGAACCUGAAACCGUGUACGUACAAGCAGUGGGAGCACCUUCGGGUGUGACUGCGUACCUUUUGUAUAAUGGGUCAGCGACUUAUAUUCUGUAGCAAGGUUAACCGUAUAGGGGAGCCGCAGGGAAACCGAGUCUUAACUGGGCGUUAAGUUGCAGGGUAUAGACCCGAAACCCGGUGAUCUAGCCAUGGGCAGGUUGAAGGUUGGGUAACACUAACUGGAGGACCGAACCGACUAAUGUUGAAAAAUUAGCGGAUGACUUGUGGCUGGGGGUGAAAGGCCAAUCAAACCGGGAGAUAGCUGGUUCUCCCCGAAAGCUAUUUAGGUAGCGCCUCGUGAAUUCAUCUUCGGGGGUAGAGCACUGUUUCGGCUAGGGGGUCAUCCCGACUUACCAACCCGAUGCAAACUACGAAUACCGAAGAAUGUUAUCACGGGAGACACACGGCGGGUGCUAACGUCCGUCGUGAAGAGGGAAACAACCCAGACCGCCAGCUAAGGUCCCAAAGUCAUGGUUAAGUGGGAAACGAUGUGGGAAGGCACAGACAGCCAGGAUGUUGGCUUAGAAGCAGCCAUCAUUUAAAGAAAGCGUAAUAGCUCACUGGUCGAGUCGGCCUGCGCGGAAGAUGUAACGGGGCUAAACCAUGCACCGAAGCUGCGGCAGCGACACUAUGUGUUGUUGGGUAGGGGAGCGUUCUGUAAGCCUGCGAAGGUGACCUGUGAGGGUUGCUGGAGGUAUCAGAAGUGCGAAUGCUGACAUAAGUAACGAUAAAGCGGGUGAAAAGCCCGCUCGCCGGAAGACCAAGGGUUCCUGUCCAACGUUAAUCGGGGCAGGGUGAGUCGACCCCUAAGGCGAGGCCGAAAGGCGUAGUCGAUGGGAAACAGGUUAAUAUUCCUGUACUUGGUGUUACUGCGAAGGGGGGACGGAGAAGGCUAUGUUAGCCGGGCGACGGUUGUCCCGGUUUAAGCAUGUAGGCUGGUUGUCCAGGCAAAUCCGGAUAAUCAAGGCUGAGGUGUGAUGACGAGGCACUACGGUGCUGAAGUAACAAAUGCCCUGCUUCCAGGAAAAGCCUCUAAGCAUCAGGUAACAUCAAAUCGUACCCCAAACCGACACAGGUGGUCAGGUAGAGAAUACCAAGGCGCUUGAGAGAACUCGGGUGAAGGAACUAGGCAAAAUGGUGCCGUAACUUCGGGAGAAGGCACGCUGGUGUGUAGGUGAAGUCCCUGCGGAUGGAGCUGAGACCAGUCGAAGAUACCAGCUGGCUGCAACUGUUUAUUAAAAACACAGCACUGUGCAAACACGAAAGUGGACGUAUACGGUGUGACGCCUGCCCGGUGCCGGAAGGUUAAUUGAUGGGGUUAUCCGUAAGGAGAAGCUCUUGAUCGAAGCCCCGGUAAACGGCGGCCGUAACUAUAACGGUCCUAAGGUAGCGAAAUUCCUUGUCGGGUAAGUUCCGACCUGCACGAAUGGCGUAAUGAUGGCCAGGCUGUCUCCACCCGAGACUCAGUGAAAUUGAACUCGCUGUGAAGAUGCAGUGUACCCGCGGCAAGACGGAAAGACCCCGUGAACCUUUACUAUAGCUUGACACUGAACAUUGAGCCUUGAUGUGUAGGAUAGGUGGGAGGCUUUGAAGCGUGGACGCCAGUCUGCGUGGAGCCAACCUUGAAAUACCACCCUUUAAUGUUUGAUGUUCUAACGUUGGCCCCUUACCGGGGUUGCGGACAGUGUCUGGUGGGUAGUUUGACUGGGGCGGUCUCCUCCCAAAGCGUAACGGAGGAGCACGAAGGUUAGCUAAUCCUGGUCGGACAUCAGGAGGUUAGUGCAAUGGCAUAAGCUAGCUUGACUGCGAGCGUGACGGCGCGAGCAGGUGCGAAAGCAGGUCAUAGUGAUCCGGUGGUUCUGAAUGGAAGGGCCAUCGCUCAACGGAUAAAAGGUACUCCGGGGAUAACAGGCUGAUACCGCCCAAGAGUUCAUAUCGACGGCGGUGUUUGGCACCUCGAUGUCGGCUCAUCACAUCCUGGGGCUGAAGUAGGUCCCAAGGGUAUGGCUGUUCGCCAUUUAAAGUGGUACGCGAGCUGGGUUUAGAACGUCGUGAGACAGUUCGGUCCCUAUCUGCCGUGGGCGCUGGAGAAUUGAGGGGGGCUGCUCCUAGUACGAGAGGACCGGAGUGGACGCAUCACUGGUGUUCGGGUUGUCAUGCCAAUGGCACUGCCCGGUAGCUAAAUGCGGAAGAGAUAAGUGCUGAAAGCAUCUAAGCACGAAACUUGCCCCGAGAUGAGUUCUCCCUGAGACUUUAAGUCUCCUGAAGGAACGUU